GUGGGCUAUGGUGACAUGUACCCUGUGACAAUUGGAGGCAAAAUCGUAGGCUCCUUGUGUGCCAUCGCUGGUGUGCUGACAAUUGGGGCGGUGGUAUCCAUGACCACU
rfam:Buceros rhinoceros silvestris contig21668, whole genome shotgun sequence.